GGGGGAUAUUGCGCAAUGGGGGCAACCCUGACGCAGCAACGCCGCGUGAAGGAUGAAGGUUUUCGGAUUGUAAACUUCUUUUAUUAAGGACGAAACUUGACGGUACUUAAUGAAUAAGCUCCGGCUAACUACGUGCCAGCAGCCGCGGUAAUACGUAGGGAGCAAGCGUUGUCCGGAUUUACUGGGUGUAAAGGGUGCGUAGGCGGCUUUGCAAGUCAGAUGUGAAAUCUAUGGGCUCAACCCAUAAACUGCAUUUGAAACUGUAGAGCUUGAGUGAAGUAGAGGCAGGCGGAAUUCCCCGUGUAGCGGUGAAAUGCGUAGAGAUGGGGAGGAACACCAGUGGCGAAGGCGGCCUGCUGGGCUUUAACUGACGCUGAGGCACGAAAGCGUGGGUAGCAAACAGGAUUAGAUACCCUGGUAGUCCACGCUGUAAACGAUGAUUACUAGGUGUGGGGGGUCUGACCCCUUCCGUGCCGGAGUUAACACAAUAAGUAAUCCACCUGGGGAGUACGGCCGCAAGGUUGAAACUCAAAGGAAUUGACGGGGGCCCGCACAAGCAGUGGAGUAUGUGGUUUAAUUCGAAGCAACGCGAAGAACCUUACCAGGUCUUGACAUCCAACUAACGAAGUAGAGAUACAUUAGGUGCCCUUCGGGGAAAGUUGAGACAGGUGGUGCAUGGUUGUCGUCAGCUCGUGUCGUGAGAUGUUGGGUUAAGUCCCGCAACGAGCGCAACCCUUGCUAUUAGUUGCUACGCAAGAGCACUCUAAUAGGACUGCCGUUGACAAAAUGGAGGAAGGUGGGGACGACGUCAAAUCAUCAUGCCCCUUAUGACCUGGGCUACACACGUACUACAAUGGAUGUUAACAGAGGGAAGCAAGACAGCGAUGUGGAGCAAACCCCUAAAAACAUUCUCAGUUCAGAUUGCAGGCUGCAACCCGCCUGCAUGAAGAUGGAAUUGCUAGUAAUCGCGGAUCAGCAUGCCGCGGUGAAUACGUUCCCG
rnacentral:rRNA from 1 species